rnacentral:rRNA from 1 species
UACGUAGGAGGCAAGCGUUGUCCGGAAUUACUGGGCGUAAAGCGCGUGUAGGUGGUGGGACAAGUCUGCUGUGAAAGCGCCUGGCUUAACCGGGCGAGGUCGGCGGAAACUGUCCGACUCGAGGACGGUAGAGGGGGGUGGAAUUCCCGGUGUAGUGGUGAAAUGCGUAGAGAUCGGGAGGAACACCUGUGGCGAAGGCGGCCCCCUGGGCUGGCCCUGACACUGAGACGCGAAGGCGUGGGGAGCGAACGGG